CCUACGGGUGGCAGCAGUGGGGAAUAUUGCACAAUGGGGGCAACCCUGAUGCAGCGACGCCGCGUGAGCGAAGAAGUAUUUCGGUAUGUAAAGCUCUAUCAGCAGGGAAGAAAAUGAUGGUACCUGAGUCAGAAGCUCCGGCUAAAUACGUGCCAGCAGCCGCGGUAAUCCGUAUGGAGCAAGCGUUAUCCGGAUUUACUGGGUGUUAAGGGAGCGCAGGCGGGCUUGCAAGUCAGAUGUGAAAUACCGGGGCUCAACCCCGGAGCUGCAUUGGAAACUGUGAGGCUGGAGUGUCGGAGAGGCAGGCGGAAUUCCUAGUGUAGCGGUGAAAUGCGUAGAUAUUAGGAGGAACACCAGUGGCGAAGGCGGCCUGCUGGACGAUGACUGACGCUGAGGCUCGAAAGCGUGGGGAGCAAACAGGAUUAGAUACCCCAGUAGUC
rnacentral:rRNA from 1 species